UCCGUAGGUGGAUAAUUAAGUCAGAGGUGAAAUCUUGCAGCUCAACUGUAAAAUUGCCUUUGAUACUGGUUAUCUUGAGUCAUUAUGAAGUAGUUAGAAUAUGUAGUGUAGCGGUGGAAUGCAUAGAUAUUACAUAGAAUACCAAUUGCGAAGGCAGAUUACUAAUAAUGUACUGACACUGAUGGACGAAAGCGUGGGUAGCGAACAGGAUUAGAUACCCUGGUAGUCCACGCCGUAAACGAUGGUUACUAGCUGUGUGGACUUCGGUCUGCGUGGCUAAGCGAAAGUGAUAAGUAACCCACCUAGGGAGUACGUUCGCAAGAAUGAAACUCAAAGGAAUUGACGGGGGCCCGCACAAGCGGUGGAGCAUGUGGUUUAAUUCGAUGA
rnacentral:rRNA from 1 species